AUUGAUUAGGUGGAAGAACAUGAGUUUGUGAGAAUGAAUUUCUCAGAAAAUGACACUAGACUUGUAUACAGUGAAAAAUUCAAAAAAGGUGUAAAUUUUAGUUAUUCAGGUGUCCACCUUCCUGUUGAAAUUUUUGAACGAUAUCCUGAAAUUUUGAAUGGUUUGAAGUGGUCAUCAGCUCUUGAUAAAGUUUUUCAAGAGAAUUUAAAUAAUGAUUCUGAAUUGAUGUGGCAGCAUUUUGGAAGUCAAGCUGGAUUUAUGCGUACUUAUCCUGCAAAACGGUGGGAAGUAUUACCAAAAAAGCCAUCUUUUCCAGAUUUGUAUGAUGUACGGCUUCGUCCAUGGUAUGUGCAUGCUUCUAGCUCACCUAAGGAUAUAGUAAUUCUGAUGGAUUUGAGUGGAAGUAUGCAUGGACAGACUAUGGAAAUUAUGAAAAUUGCUGUGAAAACUAUGCUGACAACUCUAGGUGAAAAUGAUUUCGUCAAUGUAGCAUCAUUUAAUAAUACAGUGAGAUGGAUUUCUUGCUUUGAUACACUUGUUCAAGCUAAUAGAAGGAAUAAACAGAUACUUUCUAAAGGUAUAGAUUCCCUGAAAGAUGGUAAUAUGGCAAAUCUAUCACUAGCUCUGAAAUUUGCCUUUGAAGCUUUAGCCAAGUGUAAGGAUAACAGUACUGAUCCUUGGAUUGGAGCAAAUUGCAACAAAGUUAUCAUGCUUUUUAGUGAUGGAGGUACUGAAGAAGCAUGGGAUGUGCUGGAAAAAUAUAAUUCUGAUAAAAGUAUAAGAGUAUUCACAUAUGCAAUUGGCCCUCAUCCAGUUCCUUAUGCUACUCUGAAAGAGAUUGCAUGCAGUAAUAGAGGAUAUUAUACUUCUAUACAAGCUAUGGGAGCUGUUAGAACAAAAAUACAAGUUUCUGUAGCAAGUGCUUUAUAAUUCUGCAUGUUUUUGCUGGUUUGCAUGUUUGUUUUCUAGAUUAAAAAUGAGACUACGUAAAGGUUCUUGCUAGACCACUGGUUUUGAGUGGUGCGAAGAACUUUGAGUGGACUAAUUUUUAUCUUGAUCCAU